UACGUAGGGGGCAAGCGUUGUCCGGAUUUAUUGGGCGUAAAGAGCGUGUAGGCGGCUAGGUAGGUCCGUUGUGAAAACUCGAGGCUCAACCUCGAGACGUCGAUGGAAACCAUCUAGCUAGAGUCCGGAAGAGGAGAGUGGAAUUCCUGGUGUAGCGGUGAAAUGCGCAGAUAUCAGGAGGAACACCGGUGGCGAAGGCGGGUCUCUGGGCCGAUAUUGACGCUGAGGAGCGAAAGCGUGGGGAGCGAACAGG
rnacentral:rRNA from 1 species